UAUUGGGUGGUCUGGCUCUUUAGCAUGCAAAUAGCUACUGUGGAUUCUUCCACCACUGACCCCACAGAGGGCCACUGUGGACUUUUCUGCCUCUAAUCCUGGAAGCCUACAUCAUGAGUUCCCAUGUAUAAUUAUACCUAUUUUUUAUAUUGAUUCUGGUCCUCUGAGGAACCCUAACUAAUACAGACUACCACAGCAAGAAGGUCUUUAUCAACAGCAAGUGCCUCCCACUUGGGCUUUUCAGACUCCAGCACCAUAAGAAAUAAAUCUCCAUUAUUCAGUCUCAGUCAUUUCAGCGUAGUACUAACAGUGGACUGAGACAGAAAACCAAGUUGAUGGAUGUGCAGAAGGCAAAGACUAAGGAAUUCAGCGAGACACUUUGUCCAGGCAAAAGAGAUGAUGUGCAGAAACAAGGAGUGCCAUUAAACCACGAGAAGACACAGAAGAUUCCUGUGUCCUGGCUUGUGGUGCUGGACAAGACAUUUUUACUCCCAGGGAUGCAGAUCACUGGAACAGGGCUGCCUGCGGUGGAGAUGUUUGUCUCUUGAUUCCAGAUGUGCUGCACUUCGAGAUGCUUUUGAGACAUUCUGUGAGGAGGUCAGAGAGGCGACGGAUAUUUGAAUGUAGAUUUUAGAACAAAAUUUGUGCUGAAAAUAUAAAUGGAGAGCCAUUGACCUUGUAUAAUAAUUUAAGUUACAGGAGUUGUAAGACAAUGAAAAGGGUAUGAGGGCCCAUUGACCAGCACUUGCUUAGUAGUUUACAAGGUAACAAUAGAGAAGCAGGUCAAGGAGAAGCACAUUGACAUGGGACUGUGGAUGGAGGCUUGAGCUAUCUGUGACUGACUUAGCGUAUUCUCCCGAGGAAGCCCGUGAGUGUUUGUGGCAGGGCCUGGAAAGUACUGAGUGUUGUGUCGACAGAGCGCGUCUACAGUUGGCAGCAUAAGGGAGCUGAGGAAAGAGUGUGAUGUGUCCUGCUGUGAGCACAGGAAGCCUCCCCAACACAGCAAACGGGAGGACAAAGAAAGGCGAAGUACAACUUCAACAGUGCAAGGUCAGCACGGAGUCCUGGCUUUUGAGUCCGGGAUUUGGAAGCAAGGGAAGAAUUCAGACAUAUGAGAAAACUAAACAGCAAAAAGAAUGAGAAGCUCACCUGAAGUUAAAGAGCUCAGAAGUUCCAAGUAGCAGAACAAGGAUUGAAAACUUGUCAGUCUAAGUGUGGAAGAUGUUCUUAGGCAUAAGGAGGUGGUACUAUGCCACAAAAGUGCUCCCAUUAGAAUAUUCAUGGAAAAGUAAGCAAGCAAUCAAAAAGGGAGACCUUAGACAACAUCUAUCACUUCAUUUACCUACAAGUGGAGUGGCAGGAAUGAAAGGCAAGCCUGUUGGGCUGGAGAUUUAGUUCAGCUGCAUAGCACCUGCCUGGCAAGCACAAGUCAUGAGUUCGAUUCCCAGUACUGGAAAAAAAAGAAAACAAACAAAAAAAAAAGAAAAGCAAGCCUGUCGUAUUUGGCUUUUUUUCAUGAUGCAAAGUGUUUCCAGUUGUGUACUUUGCAAACACACACACAAACACACACACAGAGUGAAGCUGGUAAGUUGGCCUUUUCUAAUUUAAUCAAGAAAAGGAGAGGAACACUGGGAAAGUGAUUCCAUGUAAAAAUAUCAUGACAU